AUGGUCAAAUCACAUUGAAACACUAGUUCUCGUACGAUCAUCGAAGUUAAGCAACAUCGAGCCUGGUCAGUACGUAGAUAGAUGACCGCUUGGCAAUACCAUGUGCUGUAAG